rnacentral:lncRNA from 1 species
CUUCUAAAACGACCAAGCCACUGUAGUAUCGCAUUCCUUCUCAUUCCCUCCCAUUUAUGUUAGAAGCUCUACCAAAACCCCCAAAUUAGAACCCUAGGUUUGCAAUGUCGGAGAUUUCAACGACAUCAAGUGGGAUGAGUCGGUACUGCGCCUGUGGGACGAAGAUAAUUCGUCGGACUUCGUGGACAGAUUUGAACCCAGUAAGAAGGUUCGAUGCUUGUGAUAAAAUUGGGUAAGUUAUUAUUUGGGUUGCAAAAUUUGUUCUUUUCCAUUUGUAAUUGCUUGAUGAGGUCUGAAAUUGGGUAAGAUUUGAUUUGCCAGAAUAGCAGAAGAGGUGUGCAUUAUUUCGAGUGGGUGGAUAAUGAAACUUGUCCAAGAGGAAAACAAGUGGUCCCUGGUUUGCUUAGAAGACUUAGAGCAAUGGAGGAGGAAGGUAGAGCAAAGGAAGAACAAUUGAGAGCUGUGGAAGCAAAAAAGAAAGAACUGUAGGAGAAAUUGAAAGAAAUAGUUCAGGAAAAAAAGGUUUUGGAAUGGGGUCAUGGGCAAAGACAAUUGAUAAUG